UACAGAGGUCUCAAGCGUUGUUCGGAUUCAUUGGGCGUAAAGGGUGCGUAGGCGGCGCGUAAGUCGGGUGUGAAAUCUCGGAGCUUAACUCCGAAACUGCAUUCGAUACUGCCGUGCUUGAGGACUGGAGAGGAGACUGGAAUUUACGGUGUAGCGGUGAAAUGCGUAGAUAUCGUAAGGAAGACCAGUGGCGAAGGCGG
rnacentral:rRNA from 1 species